rnacentral:rRNA from 1 species
UACGUAGGUGGCAAGCGUUGUCCGGAUUUAUUGGGUUUAAAGGGUGCGUAGGCGGUUCAAUAAGUCAGUGGUGAAAUACGGCAGCUCAACUGUCGAGGUGCCAUUGAUACUGUGGAACUUGAGUACAGACGAGGUAGGCGGAAUUGACGGUGUAGCGGUGAAAUGCUUAGAUAUCGUCAAGAACACCUAUAGCGAAGGCAGCUUACUAGGCUGUAACUGACGCUGAGGCACGAAAGUGUGGGGAUCAAACAGG